AAAUUGAAGAGUUUGAUCAUGGCUCAGAUUGAACGCUGGCGGCAGGCCUAACACAUGCAAGUCGAACGGUAACAGGAAGCAGCUUGCUGCUUUGCUGACGAGUGGCGGACGGGUGAGUAAUGUCUGGGAAACUGCCUGAUGGAGGGGGAUAACUACUGGAAACGGUGGCUAAUACCGCAUAACGUCGCAAGACCAAAGAGGGGGACCUUCGGGCCUCUUGCCAUCAGAUGUGCCCAGAUGGGAUUAGCUUGUUGGUGAGGUAACGGCUCACCAAGGCGACGAUCCCUAGCUGGUCUGAGAGGAUGACCAGCCACACUGGAACUGAGACACGGUCCAGACUCCUACGGGAGGCAGCAGUGGGGAAUAUUGCACAAUGGGCGCAAGCCUGAUGCAGCCAUGCCGCGUGUAUGAAGAAGGCCUUCGGGUUGUAAAGUACUUUCAGCGGGGAGGAAGGUGUUGUGGUUAAUAACCGCAGCAAUUGACGUUACCCGCAGAAGAAGCACCGGCUAACUCCGUGCCAGCAGCCGCGGUAAUACGGAGGGUGCAAGCGUUAAUCGGAAUUACUGGGCGUAAAGCGCACGCAGGCGGUCUGUCAAGUCGGAUGUGAAAUCCCCGGGCUCAACCUGGGAACUGCAUUCGAAACUGGCAGGCUUGAGUCUUGUAGAGGGGGGUAGAAUUCCAGGUGUAGCGGUGAAAUGCGUAGAGAUCUGGAGGAAUACCGGUGGCGAAGGCGGCCCCCUGGACAAAGACUGACGCUCAGGUGCGAAAGCGUGGGGAGCAAACAGGAUUAGAUACCCUGGUAGUCCACGCCGUAAACGAUGUCUACUUGGAGGUUGUGCCCUUGAGGCGUGGCUUCCGGAGCUAACGCGUUAAGUAGACCGCCUGGGGAGUACGGCCGCAAGGUUAAAACUCAAAUGAAUUGACGGGGGCCCGCACAAGCGGUGGAGCAUGUGGUUUAAUUCGAUGCAACGCGAAGAACCUUACCUGGUCUUGACAUCCACGGAACUUUCCAGAGAUGGAUUGGUGCCUUCGGGAACCGUGAGACAGGUGCUGCAUGGCUGUCGUCAGCUCGUGUUGUGAAAUGUUGGGUUAAGUCCCGCAACGAGCGCAACCCUUAUCCUUUGUUGCCAGCGGUCCGGCCGGGAACUCAAAGGAGACUGCCAGUGAUAAACUGGAGGAAGGUGGGGAUGACGUCAAGUCAUCAUGGCCCUUACGACCAGGGCUACACACGUGCUACAAUGGCGCAUACAAAGAGAAGCGACCUCGCGAGAGCAAGCGGACCUCAUAAAGUGCGUCGUAGUCCGGAUUGGAGUCUGCAACUCGACUCCAUGAAGUCGGAAUCGCUAGUAAUCGUGGAUCAGAAUGCCACGGUGAAUACGUUCCCGGGCCUUGUACACACCGCCCGUCACACCAUGGGAGUGGGUUGCAAAAGAAGUAGGUAGCUUAACCUUCGGGAGGGCGCUUACCACUUUGUGAUUCAUGACUGGGGUGAAGUCGUAACAAGGUAACCGUAGGGGAACCUGCGGUUGGAUCACCUCCUUACCU
rnacentral:rRNA from 1 species